rnacentral:lncRNA from 1 species
ACUGCCCCCUUGCUGCUGAUGCUCUGUGACCAGCUGGCUUCCUGAUCCUGCCAAGCCUUCCAUGCCACCUUGAGAUACAGAUCUUCAGAGUGUAAGCCAGAAUAAGCCUUCUCUUCUGUGAACUGCUUUUGUCAGGGUUAUUUUAUCCCAGCAACAGAAAAGGUAACUCCAGGCUGUGCGAGGGGAAAUGAAAGUAACUAAGCCUAGCCUUAGUCUGUCAAGGCAGGGCCAGCCCCUUCUCUACAGGGAAGGAGCAGGAAGCUAGCGUUGGGUAACUGUGUCUAUAGAUAAGAACAUGACCUUUGUCUCACAAUUACAAAGGAGACUGUAAGUGUGUAUGUCAGGGACGGCAGGGAUGCAUCAGGACACAAGGGUAGAAAUAACUAGUCAAAGCGCUGAGGAGCCUGGGGGUUGACAGAACUCCAGGCAACCAUUGCUGGGAGGGGUUGUACAGUCAUGAGAACUCUUUACUGUGCAUUGGUGGCAUCAAAUGUGUCAGCACUGCAAGAUGGAACCCUCCUCUAGGUGUUAUAUGAAAGAGUAUGCUUUGUUUGAAAGUCUCAUUUUAGUUAGGUAUGGCACAUACCUGCUAAUCCCAGAACCUGGAGGGCAGAAACAGGAAUUGUUUCCAUCAGAUUGAUUGGGUGUAUGCAGUAACAGGGGUGGCGGUGGGGGUGCGGUGACAUUUUUCUUGGUUGGAAAUUGAUGAGAGAGGGCAGUGGUGCGACCCCUGGGCUAAGUGUGGCAUCCUGGCACAAACCUUUAAUCCCAGCAUUCCGGAGGCAGAGGCAGGAAAAUCUCUGAAUUUGAUGCCUCCCUGAUCUACAGAAUGAGUUCCAGGAUAGCCAGGGCCACACAGAGAAAGCUUGCCUUGAAAACCAAAAUAAAUAGAUAAUUAAAACCA